rnacentral:rRNA from 1 species
UACAGAGGUCCCAAGCGUUGUUCGGAUUCAUUGGGCGUAAAGGGUGCGUAGGCGGCGCGGUAAGUCGGGUGUGAAAUCUCGGAGCUUAACUCCGAAACUGCAUUCGAUACUGCCGUGCUUGAGGACUGGAGAGGAGACUGGAAUUUACGGUGCAGCGGUGAAAUGCGUAGAUAUCGUAAGGAAGACCAGUGGCGAAGGCGGGUCUCUGGACAGUUCCUGACGCUGAGGCACGAAGGCCAGGGGAGCAAACGGG